rnacentral:rRNA from 1 species
GACAGAGGGUGCAAACGUUGUUCGGAAUUACUGGGCGUAAAGCGCGUGUAGGCGGUCUCGCAAGUCGGAUGUGAAAGCCCAGGGCUCAACCCUGGAAGUGCACUCGAUACUGCGAGGCUAGAGUCCCGGAGAGGAUGGUGGAACUCUCGGUGUAGAGGUGAAAUUCGUAGAUAUCGAGAAGAAACACCGGUGGCGAAGGCGGCCAUCUGGACGGUGACUGACGCUGAGACGCGAAAGCGUGGGGAGCAAACAGG